rnacentral:lncRNA from 1 species
UCCUUGUGAGGAGCAUAUGCUACAAACUUUCACCUGCUGCACAUUUCCACAAGCCAAAGAACGCACAAGAGAAGUAAGAUCAUUAACUUUAUUUUCAAGGUUAGAAAUACUUACCUCAUUUACUCGUUUGUUGGAGAAGUCUCCACGAGUGCCAAACUGUUUUGAGUUGGCUGCCAUGUUUGAGAUCAAUUGGCGUGCAGCCUCGGGUGUC